GGUGGGCUGGCCGAGUGGCUUAAGGCAGCAGUUUGCUAAACUGCGGGGAUCUAAAAAAUCCCACAGAGGUUCGAAUCCUCUGCCCACCGCCA
rnacentral:tRNA from 1 species